UAGCAGUCCUGUCAGUUGGACCUUUUCACAGACUCUGACCUAAGGUUGGUAACAAAAUUAUAAGAUGGUGUAAGGAUGCUUGUAAAGAAAAAAUAUAAAUUGAAGAUGCAGACAGCAUGGAUGAGCCCUCUGAAAGUAUUCAUGGAACUGAAAUUAUCAGUGUUUUCAUCCUGAUAUGGAAAAUCUGCCUGGCAGUGGAGUUGAGACUUGGAUCUGGGAUUGCUUCCUCGGGGAGCUGACUCCCUUGAUAGAAGAGGAUCACAACAGUUGAUGUAGAGGUGGUAAAUGAGCCCAAUCAGAUCAAACCACCAAUCAAGAUCCCAAAUUUUAAGCAGGCCUUGCCUUCUUGCUCCCUCUUCUAUGUAGCCUGUGAGCUCUUAUUGGAGUACCCAUGUCAGUCCUCUAUCCUGGUUGUG